rnacentral:rRNA from 1 species
AUAGAACGCUGACGGCAUGCCUUACACAUGCAAGUCGAACGGCAGCACGGGAGCAAUCCUGGUGGCGAGUGGCGAACGGGUGAGUAAUAUAUCGGAACGUGCCCAGUCGUGGGGGAUAACGCAGCGAAAGUUGUGCUAAUACCGCAUACGAUCUAUGGAUGAAAGCGGGGGAUCGCAAGACCUCGCGCGAUUGGAGCGGCCGAUAUCAGAUUAGCUAGUUGGUGGGGUAAAGGCCCACCAAGGCGACGAUCUGUAGCUGGUCUGAGAGGACGACCAGCCACACUGGAACUGAGACACGGUCCAGACUCCUACGGGAGGCAGCAGUGGGGAAUUUUGGACAAUGGGCGCAAGCCUGAUCCAGCAAUGCCGCGUGCAGGAUGAAGGCCUUCGGGUUGUAAACUGCUUUUGUACGGAACGAAACGGUCUGCCCUAAUACGGUGGGCUAAUGACGGUACCGUAAGAAUAAGCACCGGCUAACUACGUGCCAGCCGCCGCCGUAA